rnacentral:rRNA from 1 species
GAUGAACGCUGGCGGCGUGCCUAAUACAUGCAAGUCGAGCGAACGGACGAGAAGCUUGCUUCUCUGAUGUUAGCGGCGGACGGGUGAGUAACACGUGGAUAACCUACCUAUAAGACUGGGAUAACUUCGGGAAACCGGAGCUAAUACCGGAUAAUAUUUUGAACCGCAUGGUUCAAAAGUGAAAGACGGUCUUGCUGUCACUUAUAGAUGGAUCCGCGCUGCAUUAGCUAGUUGGUAAGGUAACAGCUUACCAAGGCAACGAUGCAUAGCCGACCUGAGAGGGUGAUCGGCCACACUGGAACUGAGACACGGUCCAGACUCCUACGGGAGGCAGCAGUAGGGAAUCUUCCGCAAUGGGCGAAAGCCUGACGGAGCAACGCCGCGUGGGUGAUGAAGGUCUUCGGAUCGUAAAACUCUGUUAUUAGGGAAGAACAUAUGUGUAAGUAACUGUGCACAUCUUGACGGUACCUAAUCAGAAAGCCACGGCUAACUACGUG